rnacentral:rRNA from 1 species
AUUGAACGCUGGCGGCAUGCUUUACACAUGCAAGUCGAACGGUAACAGGCCGCAAGGUGCUGACGAGUGGCGAACGGGUGAGUAAUGCAUCGGAACGUGCCCAGUCGUGGGGGAUAACUACUCGAAAGAGUAGCUAAUACCGCAUACGAUCUAUGGAUGAAAGCGGGGGACCGUAAGGCCUCGCGCGAUUGGAGCGGCCGAUGUCGGAUUAGGUAGUUGGUGGGGUAAAGGCUCACCAAGCCAACGAUCUGUAGCUGGUCUGAGAGGACGACCAGCCACACUGGGACUGAGACACGGCCCAGACUCCUACGGGAGGCAGCAGUGGGGAAUUUUGGACAAAGGGCGCAAGCCUGAUCCAGCAAUGCCGCGUGCAGGAAGAAGGCCUUCGGGUUGUAAACUGCUUUUGUACGGAACGAAACGGCUCUGGUUAAUACCCGGGGCUAAUGACGGUACCGUAAGAAUAAGCACCGGCUAACUACGUG